rnacentral:tRNA from 4 species
GUCGGUAUCGUCUAGUGGACCAGGACACCACCCUUUCACGGUGAAUACACGGGUUCGAAUCCCGUUACCGACUCCA